AUGGUGAUCUCAUACGGAUCGAUCACAUCUAAGAGGGUGCUGGCGCCGGCGCCAGCUCCUGUCACCACUAGGGUCAUGUGGAAGGCUCCCAUCAAAGAGAAUGGAAUGGGAAACUUGUACCUUCAGUGCAUACUACUCGAUCGGCAUGGAACAAAGAUGGAAGCGAUUGCAUACAACAACCAGGCAAUCCGUUUCAACAGCGUUCUAGAAACCAGUAGGACCUAUGAUUUCAAUCGCGUUGGUUUUAACCCCACAGAAAUGCCAGAUGGUCAUUUCUGGUACCUAGCCAUGGACUUUGUCGCCACGCUAAGUUCUACGGCCGAGAUGUGGUUGCUAUCCUUGCCUAUGUUGAGGCAUCGUUGCUUGCAAACUAUGAGGGAGAGCACAUUCUUCUUCUCUCCCAACAUUAAUUAUGAUCAUCAUUAUCUACAAGGUAGGGUAGGAACAAUGGACGUCAGAAGUAUCAUAGAUGCAAUUAGAUCAUCCUUGAGGGUAUUGGACGACUGA
rnacentral:rRNA from 1 species